rnacentral:rRNA from 1 species
AACGAACGCUGGCGGCAUGCCUAACACAUGCAAGUCGAACGAAGCCUUCGGGCUUAGUGGCGCACGGGUGCGUAACACGUGGGAAUCUGCCCUUUGGUUCGGAAUAACAGUUAGAAAUAGACUGCUAAUACCGGAUAAUGACGUAAGUCCAAAGAUUUAUCGCCGAAGGAUGAGCCCGCGUAGGAUUAGGUAGUUGGUGGGGUAAUGGCCCACCAAGCCGACGAUCCUUAGCUGGUCUGAGAGGAUGAUCAGCCACACUGGGACUGAGACACGGCCCAGACUCCUACGGGAGGCAGCAGUGGGGAAUAUUGGACAAUGGGCGAAAGCCUGAUCCAGCAAUGCCGCGUGAGUGAUGAAGGCCUUAGGGUUGUAAAGCUCUUUUACCAGGGAUGAUAAUGACAGUACCUGGAGAAUAAGCUCCGGCUAACUCCGUGCCAGCAGCCGCGGUAAU